rnacentral:rRNA from 1 species
UACGUAGGGUGCGAGCGUUGUCCGGAAUUAUUGGGCGUAAAGGGCUCGUAGGCGGUUUGUCGCGUCGGGCGUGAAAACACGGGGCUUAACCCCGUGCCUGCUUCCGAUACGGGCAGACUAGAGGUAUGCAGGGGAGAACGGAAUUCCUGGUGUAGCGGUGAAAUGCGCAGAUAUCAGGAGGAACACCGGUGGCGAAGGCGGUUCUCUGGGCAUUACCUGACGCUGAGGAGCGAAAGUGUGGGGAGCGAACAGG